CAGUAGCCGCGGUAAUACGAAGGGGGCUAGCGUUGUUCGGAAUUACUGGGCGUAAAGCGCACGUAGGCGGAUAUUUAAGUCAGGGGUGAAAUCCCGCAGCUCAACUGCGGAACUGCCUUUGAUACUGGGUAUCUUGAGUAUGGAAGAGGUCAGUGGAAUUGCGAGUGUAGAGGUGAAAUUCGUAGAUAUUCGCAGGAACACCAGUGGCGAAGGCGGCUAACUGGGCCAACACUGACACUGAGGCACGAAAGCGUGGGGAGCAAACAGGAUUAGAUACCCCCGUAGUCCCUGUCUCUUAUAC
rnacentral:rRNA from 1 species